rnacentral:rRNA from 1 species
GAUGAACGCUGGCGGCGUGCCUAAUACAUGCAAGUCGGGCGAACGGACGAGAAGCUUGCUUCUCUGAUGUUAGCGGCGGACGGGUGAGUAACACGUGGAUAACCUACCUAUAAGACUGGGAUAACUUCGGGAAACCGGAGCUAAUACCGGAUAAUAUUUUGAACCGCAUGGUUCAAAAGUGAAAGACGGUCUUGCUGUCACUUAUAGAUGGAUCCGCGCUGCAUUAGCUAGUUGGUAAGGUAACGGCUUACCAAGGCAACGAUGCAUAGCCGACCUGAGAGGGCGAGCGGCCACACGGGAACGGAGACACGGUCCAGACUACUACGGGAGGCAGCAGUAGGGAAUUGUCCGCAAUGGGCGAAAGCCUGACGGAGCAACGCUGCGUGAGUGAUGAAGUUCUUCGGAGCGUAAACCGCUGUUAUGAGGAAAGAACAGAUGUGUAAGUAACUGUGCACAUCUUGACGGUACCUAAAAAGAAAGCCACGGCUAACUACGUG